GGUAGUGUGGCCGAGUGGUCUAAGGCGCUGGAUUUAGGCUCCAGUCUCUCUCGAGGCGUGGGUUCGAAUCCCACCACUGCCA
rnacentral:tRNA from 1 species